rnacentral:lncRNA from 12 species
GUUGCUCUGCGGGUCCUCGACCAGCCAGCCUCCUGGGUCCGUUUUGAACCGCACCCUGGACCUCCUGAGGUUGUGGACCCACCGGCUAGCAACAAAACUUUCUUCAUGUUUGUUAGUAAAUUUUAUAUAGGAGACAGAAGCUGCUCACAGCUUGUGCUUAAAUUCCAUCACCGGGGAAAUGUUUGCAAAGAUUUCUCAUGUCUUGUAAAUGUUGGGAAUCCAGAUUUGCCUAGAGCGUGGACGGAGAAGAUGACGUCUCCACUGGUAGCUUCCUUGGCUCAUAGCACCUGCUUCCCAGGGAAUUCCUCUCCAAACAGAUGGAGUGAGGUGUUCCUCAGCAUGUUGGGUACCUCUCACAUGAGGGUGCAGUUCUGCCAAGAUCUCCGCCUUCUCCAUGAGUGUGUGAGCUCCUGAGGCCUGGCAUAUACUUGUUAUAUCAUAAAUGUAUUCUGAAUGAAUGAAAGGAUAAAUUUUAAAAAGGUGGUAUGGUGAUUAUAAAAGACAGCCCUCAGAGAGGAUGCCAGAGACAAGGAUGCGAUAUAAGGUAGAUAUGGGCAAUAAUAAUUCGACUUCAGGUGU